GACGAACGCUGGCGGCGUGCUUAACACAUGCAAGUCGAACGGAAAGGCCCUGCUUUUGUGGGGUGCUCGAGUGGCGAACGGGUGAGUAACACGUGAGUAACCUGCCCUUGACUUUGGUAUAACUUCAGGAAACUGGGGCUAAUACCGGAUAGGAGCUCCUGCUGCAUGGUGGGGGUUGGAAAGUUUCGGCGGUUGGGGAUGGACUCGCGGCUUAUCAGCUUGUUGGUGGGGUAGUGGCUUACCAAGGCUUUGACGGGUAGCCGGCCUGAGAGGGUGACCGGCCACAUUGGGACUGAGAUACGGCCCAGACUCCUACGGGAGGCAGCAGUGGGGAAUAUUGCACAAUGGGCGGAAGCCUGAUGCAGCAACGCCGCGUGCGGGAUGACGGCAUUCGGGUUGUAAACCGCUUUCGCCUGUGACGAAGCGUGAGUGACGGUAAUGGGUAAAGAAGCACCGGCUAACUACGU
rnacentral:rRNA from 1 species